CUCAAUCCACUGAGCCGUACCAACCAGGGCGAGAAGCAUGAUUUUAAAGGAGAAAAAAACCAACCUGCAUUCACAGAAUGCUUUGUUACCCAGUCCUGACUUUUCAAGAUAACAGAAAGGUACCAACUCCAGGCCAAGUCCCACCCUCAGCACUGAGGAUGCGGAGGAGCUAGCCCCUCCCUUCAAGGAGUCUG